rnacentral:rRNA from 1 species
UACGUAGGGUGCGAGCGUUAAUCGGAAUUACUGGGCGUAAAGCGUGCGCAGGCGGUUUUGUAAGCCAGAUGUGAAAGCCCCGGGCUUAACCUGGGAAUGGCAUUUGGGACUGCAAGGCUGGAGUACGGCAGAGGGAGGUGGAAUUCCACGUGUAGCAGUGAAAUGCGUAGAGAUGUGGAGGAACACCGAUGGCGAAGGCAGCCUCCUGGGCCAGCACUGACGCUCAUGCACGAAAGCGUGGGGAGCAAACAGG